rnacentral:rRNA from 1 species
UACGAAGGGGGCUAGCGUUGUUCGGAAUUACUGGGCGUAAAGGGCGCGUAGGCUGUGCUGUAAGUCAGGCGUGAAAGCCCCGGGCUCAACCUGGGGAAUUGCGCUUGAUACUGCGGCGCUGGAAGGUGGGAGAGGAUGGCGGAAUUCCCAGUGUAGAGGUGAAAUUCGUAGAUAUUGGGAAGAACACCGGUGGCGAAGGCGGCCAUCUGGCCCAUUUUUGGACGC